rnacentral:lncRNA from 1 species
UUAAGCACUUUCUGCUGCUACAUAAUUGACCAGUAACAAAUCGAAGGUACCAGAAAUCAAAUAAAUGCAAACGCGCAGUGCUUCUUAGUCCUCCAUAACUUAUUUUAAUGUAUCUGCUCCACAAAAUUCAUGGAGACAAAUUAAUCUUGAGUGGCAGUUGCGUAUACAUCAUGGAAAGUACUAAUUAUUGGACAUCACAUUACAAGAAUUUUAUGUUUUUC